CAGCUUUAUUAAUAAGGUGAAAGGAAUUCCACCAAAUUAUUUAAAAAAAUAGUAUUCUAAAAUAUAACCAAGAGGUCCUAUGCGUUUCGGUCACACAUGUGAACUUCCUCAGGGUCCAUAAAAUGAAUACAAUAACAAAACAGUAGCAAUAAAAAAAAGUAGCCUAAUUCCUCCAUCCCCAUAGUCCCAAUAUAUAUGGCUACUCCCUGUGUCCCUGAUGGAAUUCAUGGGCGUCUCCUUAUUUCCCGGUCUUCAUUGGUCCGGUCCGAUUGCUUCCUCAGCUGUAGAUGAAUAUCUUCUAAUUCCCAAUUGAAAAAAAACGCGUUCGUAUCAGUGAAGCC